rnacentral:sRNA from 2 species
GUACCCGUAGCUUUCUCGCAUUCAGUUGCAAGGGGGAGGGGAAUGGGUCCCCUCCGGUUGCGUGUACAGAAGG